UGGGAAUAUAGCUCAGUUGGUAGAGUGCUUGCUUUGCAUGUGCAAAGCCUGGAUUCAAUCCCCAGGACCUAA
rnacentral:tRNA from 1 species